CUUAAAACAACAUGAACCUCCAGGCACGAGAUCACAGAGAAAGAUUCUCCAUCUCCUACUUUUAUGGUCUUGGCCUUCAUCCAUGGGUCAUCACUUCUUGCUAGCUAACAGGGGAUAAAGACAGAUCACAAAAAAACCACAAAAGGGUUAAAUAUGUAGCAAUCUGUUUGACAUGAAAAGAAAAAGAUACGAAGAAAUUUUAAUAAAAAUACAACCCUACCAGGA